rnacentral:misc_RNA from 1 species
UUAACAAUUACUCUCAACAAUUAAUCAUUAGUUAAAAUAAAAAAUAAAAUAUUUAAUUAAAAUUUUUUAAAUUAUUUCUGACUUGUGAAGUUUAUAAAAUAUUUACUAUACCCUAAAAGAAUUACAUCAAAUUACAAUUUUUCGAUUUAAUUCAGAAUUGUAAAAGUAGUAAACACCUUAUUAACGGUCUUCCUUAACUUUUUUAUCAUAAACUUAUUUUAUUAUGAUUUUUUAAUUUAUUUCAAAAUCCCAAAAGCCAUAAAAGCCCUACUAACAGUCCCCCCCCUUAACAGACCUCAACAAACCCCUUUACCCCAGGACCCAAUUUUCUCAAAUAUAGUAUGUUAUUGUUUGUUUUCAUUUUCUCUAUUUCAUCGAUAUGAAUUUCUCUCUUAUGCAAAAUUUAGAGCCAUGAAGUAAUCAAAUACAAUGCCUACUUAGUCCAGCCACUUUGCAAUACCAUUUGACUCUGGUAACAACGCGUAGGCAUGCUUCCAAUUUAGUUGGGAAAUCAGGAAAUAGACUCAUCAAAUAAACUGACCUUAUGUAAUGAAGUAAGCUUUAGAUAAUUAUUUCACUAAAUUGACCUUGUAUUGAUCCUUCAACCAAUCAAACAAAGUCAUUAAUCUCACAGACCAGAGUAAAUUACAAUUAAGUUUUUUUUUUUUUUUUCUGGUAAACUAAAGAAAGAGCUACAAACCACAACUACACAGCACAAGCUCGAGAAUGAACAACACCAACACUAUCAUGAGAAAGCCACUUCAGCGAACCCGAGGGAGGAGACCUGAAUCCGUGCACACCCAUUGGCAAAGAGUGAGCUUCCUUAGCCAUCCAAUCAGCACUAAAAUUAGAUUCUCUGUAAAUAUGGGAAACUCUCACCAACCACUCUCUAUCCAACAUCUCAUGAAUCUGAUGCAGCAGAGAACGAAUACUAACCGGAGGUUUUUUAAUUUUCAGCACAAAAUGAACAACGCUCAAAUUAUCGCAAUCAACUAGCAAUCUCCGAAUAACUAAGUCCGAAGCUAACCUUAAACCUACCAAUACAGCCAAGGUUUCAGCCACGUUUAUAUGACACUUACCCAAAUUCAUCAUGAAACCCCCAACCUAAUUACUAUUGUCAUCUCUAAUUACGCCACCACCAGAAGCAUCUCCAGAUUCACAUAAAAACGCACCAUCCGAAUUCAGCUUAAACCACGAAUUAGGCUGUGGAAUCCAACCUCUCUAACUAUCCACAGUGCUACGCUUACCCUCGUCAAGACAACCAAUAAUUCCCUGGGCAUUCGAAAACACCAAGGCCUUGUGUAAAAUGAACUGCAACAACUCUUCAACAGUACUGUGGUUACCUCCAAA